UGAAAUGUAAAUUUGUCUUGAUUGAAACCUCAGGAGUACAAAUUACUUCAAAAGUCUAAAGUCCUUUUGAGACAGAUAAGACAUUUGUAUGUACAAAUGUGAAACAAUUCCUUGUCUAUUGAAUUGCACAUCACCAAUGUAUGUUACUCUUAUACUCACAAUCAAGUAUCAUAUAAAAAAAAAAUAACAUCCAUUUCUUCUUAUGCUUCAAAUCAUAUAGUUUCAUCUCUUUUUGUCUCUUAUCUAACCCUUGAAAUCAUAAGCUAAGUGAAGAAGUGCAAGAAUCUCAUCCAUACAUCUCAUAGGAGAGCUCAUCAUUUCACUGCAUCAGAAGCAGCACGUUACAAUGGCCAAAAAAGUAAAGAUAGCAGUUUCAUAAUAGCAACCAAUAAUUUCAUAUUUGAAGAGUAAUCAGAGAUCAAGUAAUGGUAAAAUUGUACAAAAAUCAAAUCUUGAUACAAAACCCACAACAAUUAUGUAAUUCCCAAGACAGAUCUACAAUCAAAGAGUACAAAUAACCCAAAAAAAGAAUUUGGUACCUAAAGGCCACAUACCUAUAAACUACAAGAACCCAAAAAAGAACAGAGCUUGAAAGAAAGAACAGGAAUAAGAAAAGCACCUAAUUUUACAAGCAUGAGAAGGGCUUAGCUUUGGUAGUCAAAAAGAGGGCUUGAGAAAGAGAACUCUCUCUCUCACUCUCACUCUCACUCUCACUCUCACUCUCACUCUCAUGACCUGUUCCCUUCCUGUUGGUUUUGCACCUCUGACAACAACGAACAAGUGGAGGGGAGAGAGAGAAAGAGAGAUGUUUCAUGUAAUAUAAAAAUAUGCAAGAACCCUCAUUCAUGCACUAAUCUCUAGGUUCAACUUCAUGUCCUCUUUGCAUCAAGCUCUGUGCUAAGAAAAAAAUGAAAUAAAACAAAAUAAAGAAUCUUUGCAUCAAGCUCUAAGACACAGAAAAGAAAAAAGAUCUUAGAUAAACAAUAAUCACAUUGGUUAGAGUAAAUGCAAUCUUCCCUUCAUCAACUAGGAUCAACAAAUUAGAGAAAAUGCAACAAUGGAAAACCAUAUUUAUCUACACAAGUAGAUUGCAUGCCCAGGCCCAUUAAAAAAUAUACUCACCCCUAAGAUGGCCAAGCCCCCAGGCCAAUAUGUAGGAGAGAAAUGAGGCAGUAGGAAAAGGCCAAAAAUAAUAUACUAAAGUGACUGGUCAAUAUUGAUUUAUUUUUCUGUGAAAAAACUUAGCGAUAAGUAUCUCUACUUAUAAAAAGGAACAUACAAACUGAAAAUUGAAGGCUUAAAUCACUAAUUCUCAUCCAACCAUUUGUCCAGUCCACUUGCUAAUGGAAGGCUUAAAUCACUAAUUCUUACUAAUAUUAUUACACGUGCCCAUCCAAUCAUACAUUUUGUCCAAGUCAACCCAAAUAUUCAAUAUCAGCAGUCCCCGUCGGCUCCAUUUAAAAAUCCUCAUCCAUCAGCCUUAACCAGCCACCUCUGCAAAUGCAUGAACCCAACCACACGCCCCACCCCUAUAAAAGCCACUCCUCCACUCUUCACACUCAGUCCUCACUUCAAUCCCUCACUUCAAACACAUAGAUGAGUUCUCUAAAAUGGCAGUGUGAGGGUUUGAACCUAACCAAAAACUUUCACAAAGCUAAAUAACUUUUAUCCCAAUUUAGGUCAAAUUACAGCUAGACAAAGCCAGAUUAGUUAUAUAACUAGGAGUCUAGGAUAAAACAAUUUGCACCGAACUAGCUUCAGUCAUUGUAGUUUUAACAUUUCCCAAAUAAUAUGUAAGAGAAAAACACCAUUCAAGUACUAUCUCACAUAGAAACUUUUACAGAUCUAUAUAGGUGAUAACUUUUACAAGAUUGUCAAAAUCACUGUCCACAGGCAUAACACAGCAAAGUCAAAUUAGCUUAAGGAAUUCAAGUGUAACCAAAAGCAUCUCGAACUUCAAGAUAAAAUGCACAAAUAUAUUUUAGCUUCUAGAACCAUAAUUAGCAACAGGCAAAAUUAAAAAGCAAACUAUUUUUCUCCCAUGUAGAAGACAAGUUGGCUUAAAAUCCAGUAUCAAGCAAUGUACAAACUAUCAUACAUAAUUCACUAUUGAAU
rnacentral:lncRNA from 1 species